UACAGAGGGUGCAAGCGUUAAUCGGAAUUACUGGGCGUAAAGCGCGCGUAGGUGGUUUGUUAAGUUUGGAUGUGAAAUCCCCCGGGCUCAACCUGGGAACUGCAUUCAAAACUGACAAGCUAGAGUAUGGUAGAGGGUGGUGGAAUUUCCUGUGUAGCGGUGAAAUGCGUAGAUAUAGGAAGGAACACCAGUGGCGAAGGCGACCACCUGGACUGAUACUGACACUGAGGUGCGAAAGCGUGGGGAGCAAACAGG
rnacentral:rRNA from 1 species